UACGUAGGUGGCAAGCGUUGUCCGGAGUUAUUGGGCGUAAAGCGCGCGCAGGCGGUGCGGUAAGUCUCUGGUGAAAGCGCUCGGCUUAACUGGGCGAGGGCCGGGGAGACUGCCACGCUGGAGGGGAGCAGAGGCGAGUGGAAUUCCGGGUGUAGUGGUGAAAUGCGUAGAGAUCCGGAGGAACACCAGUGGCGAAGGCGGCUCGCUGGGUUCUACCUGACGCUGAUGCACGAAAGCUAGGGGAGCAAACAGG
rnacentral:rRNA from 1 species